rnacentral:rRNA from 1 species
UGCAAGUCGAACGAUGAACCACUUCGGUGGGGAUUAGUGGCGAACGGGUGAGUAACACGUGGGCAAUCUGCCCUUCACUCUGGGACAAGCCCUGGAAACGGGGUCUAAUACCGGAUAUGAGCCUGGGAGGCAUCUCCCGGGUUGUAAAGCUCCGGCGGUGAAGGAUGAGCCCGCGGCCUAUCAGCUUGUUGGUGAGGUAAUGGCUCACCAAGGCGACGACGGGUAGCCGGCCUGAGAGGGCGACCGGCCACACUGGGACUGAGACACGGCCCAGACUCCUACGGGAGGCAGCAGUGGGGAAUAUUGCACAAUGGGCGAAAGCCUGAUGCAGCGACGCCGCGUGAGGGAUGACGGCCUUCGGGUUGUAAACCUCUUUCAGCAGGGAAGAAGCGAGAGUGACGGUACCUGCAGAAGAAGCGCCGGCUAACUACGUGCCAGCAGCCGCGGUAAUACGUAGGGCGCAAGCGUUGUCCGGAAUUAUUGGGCGUAAAGAGCUCGUAGGCGGCUUGUCGCGUCGAUUGUGAAAGCCCGGGGCUUAACUCCGGGUCUGCAGUCGAUACGGGCUAGCUAGAGUGUGGUAGGGGAGAUCGGAAUUCCUGGUGUAGCGGUGAAAUGCGCAGAUAUCAGGAGGAACACCGGUGGCGAAGGCGGAUCUCUGGGCCAUUACUGACGCUGAGGAGCGAAA